rnacentral:RNase_P_RNA from 1 species
GAAGUAGAUUGCCUUAUCGCUGUAUGCUAAACUGAAGUUUAGAAUAUAGAGGAAAGUCCGAACACCAUAGUGCAAAUAUAGUGGUUAACGGCCACCAGUCGAGAGGCUAGGAAAAGUGCAACAGAAAGGAUGUACAGGUAAUGCUGUAGUGAAACCAGGUAAACUCUAUGUGGUGCAAUGUCAUGUAUAUCAACGUUUGAGCGCGGCACGUGCGAUGUUGAAGGGUAGACAGCUAGAGUGUAUUGGUAACAAUAUGCCCAGAUAAAUGAUAAGGAUGUUUUGUACUUGUAGAUGAGGUUCAGAUGCAAGUUCAGAAGGUACAGAAUUCGGCUUAUAGAUUUGCUUUAGUA